CGACGCCACAGCUCCCGGAUGCUGUGGCUCCCUUAUCUGGGCUUCUGCAGCGCCAGAAGCCCCUUCGGGAUGCUGCGAGGGGCUCCCGGUGAGUGGUGGUACAAACGCUGCGGCCGCCGCCGCCAGUCCUGCUGCUGUUGUUGCUGCUGCAGUCACGUGGGAGCCCCUUUAAGUUUCCAUAGAGAGGCCUCUCCGGUGUCACAUGAUGGACAUGAUAUAAUGAAACAACAUUGUGGAGAGGAAAGCAUUAGGGGAGCCCACGGCUACAAAAACAAGUGAGUGAGAAGAGGUGGGAGGAAGAGAAACUACGCCACCUCCCCUGCAGCCGAGCGCACGCAGCAGCCUGGCGUGACAAGUGGGCGACGCCGGGGGGCAGGGAACCGGGGGUCCUUGGCCCUGGCCGGGGACCUCGCCGCCCACCAGCGGAGAAUAAGUUUUAGCCGGCAGCCCCAGCCAGCCCUGCACCUGUCUCCAGCGUCUCCAUCGCUCCUCGUGAUCAUCCAAAGGAAAUUCUCGAAGAAUUUGCUUCACAAAUCUACGUGCGCAUCAUUUUCUCCGCCGCGUCUCGUUCGGGAGGAAGGAACGAGAAAGGGAUUCGAGCGGCGUGCGUUUUGCCCAAAGCAUCACCAAGCAUCCCAGGAAUGCUACUUCUGCUCAGUUCUUGGAUGGAGAGGAAUGGAGGAGGAUUUUUGCCUCACUUGUGUUUUCAGGGAAUCUUUUAACUGGUUAGGAGGAUUGGGGUGUUCGCCAUCUGGAGUUUCUCUGCCUCAUGGAGCCCAGCUCAGAGCUGCCAGUUUGCAGGAGAUGAUUGAUAACAUCCUGUUCACAGCCCAGUGAGUAGAUGCUGCCUGGUUUGUUUUACUGCUUUUAAAAAAAGUAACAUGUUAGAACUUUAAAGUUUUAAAAUCUAAUGCACUUAAUUGGGUUCUUUAAAUUUACUUGUUGAAAACUGGUGGCAGUUACACUGAUAAUUCUUAUUGAGUAUUUAUAAAUAAUGGGGCCCU
rnacentral:lncRNA from 1 species